UGCUCAGCAACUCCUAUCCCUACCUCCUCGGGUAACCAACCCGGGUGAGAAUUUCGAUCGUGUGCUGACAGGGAAGG
rnacentral:ribozyme from 1 species